GAAUUCAGCGCUUCGUGUCGCCUACAUAGAUGAAGUUGAAGAGGCAAAGGAAGGGAAAUCACAGAAAGUUUAUUACUCAGUUAUUGUCAAAGGAGGUGAAAAGUAUGAUGAGGUUUUUGUGGAAGUGGCAACUCAAUUGAAUGGCUGCUAAGAUAUGUAACAACGGAUGCCAUUGUUGGUCUUGCAUCAGGAUCUUGUUGAACACAAUACACCAAUUUGAAUGCACUUAAGGACUUCAAUUUCUGAAUAGUUAUUUUUAAUAUUUGGGUCUAAUAUACUCAAUGACAUGUUAUCCAUCCAUUGUCUCCAAACUUGUAACGCAGUAACCUCCCACAAUCAUUAUAUAAAUCAUCUACUCUUUUUUUUUGUCUCUUUUUAUCUUGUAAAAAAAAUUAUAAAUCAUGGCAAACAAAACUUUUAACUUCAGUGUUCUGAUUCUUUUUUUUUUACAGUUGAAUGAUUCAAGAUGGGAUUCAGAUUAUGAGAAACUGUGGAAGCUUCCACCAAAUCAUGGCUUUCUGCCCUCCUAAUUAUACAAUGUGAGACUGUGUCUGAGCCAGGAAAUAAUCCUACCAGUGGGAAGAAUAGAUCAUUCCUAGAGCGGCUAGUCUUUUACUUUUUAAUUCCUAGUUUGACAUUGUUGAAGAGAAGGUGCAGAGUCCCGGGAUGGAAUUCACACAAGAGACCAAGAAACUAAGGCACUUAUUAUUUUCUUGUAUAUUCAUAUUUUAAGAAGUAAAAACAACACUUAUUAGAUGGUUUAAAUACAUUAUUAGAUAUUAACAUAGUUUAGGGAACUGGAUGG